AUUGAACGCUGGCGGCAGGCUUAACACAUGCAAGUCGAGCGGGGUGAUGGUGCUUGCACUAUCACUUAGCGGCGGACGGGUGAGUAAUGCUUAGGAAUCUGCCUAUUAGUGGGGGACAACAUCUCGAAAGGGAUGCUAAUACCGCAUACGUUCUACGGGAGAAAGCCGGGGAUCACUUGUGACCUUGCGCUAAUAGAUGAGCCUCAGUCGGAUUAGCUAGUUGGUGGGGUGAAGGCCUACAAAGGCGACGAUUUGUAGCGGGUCUGAGAGGAUGAUCCGCCACACUGGGACUGAGACACGGCCCAGACUCCUACGGGAGGCAGCAGUGGGGAAUAUUGGACAAUGGGGGGAACCCUGAUCCAGCCAUGCCGCGUGUGUGAAGAAGGCCUUAUGGUUGUAAAGCACUUUAAGCGAGGAGGAGGCUCUUUUGGUUAAUACCCAAGAUGAGUGGACGUUACUCGCAGAAUAAGCACCGGCUAACUCUGUGCCAGCAGCCGCAGUAA
rnacentral:rRNA from 1 species